UUCUGAUCCUGCAGGGAAGAGUGCCAGCACCUGAUGGAGGAGGCCAACAAAGUCCAGACAGAAAAGGAAGGAAGAGCAGACAAUGUUGGUUUUGGUGCCUGAGAUCUGAGUGCAUUCCCUGAGGAAUGGAGGUCCCUAAGGAGUUGUGAUGGGCCAGAAUGUUGACUCCAGAUGUUCCCAGCGCCCAGACUCGUUGGCUCAGGAGGACUCUGAAUGAUAAUAUCCCAUCAGCUGAGAUUUUUGAUGCAGAUUUUCCAGCCUAUGUUAUGACUCACAUUACAACAGUUACCUAAACAAAGAUCUUUGCUCUUUCUGGAUGAGUUUCCAGUGAUAAACGAA
rnacentral:lncRNA from 10 species